UGAACGCUGGCGGCGUGCCUAAUACAUGCAAGUCGAGCGAACAGACGAGGAGCUUGCUCCUUUGACGUUAGCGGCGGACGGGUGAGUAACACGUGGGUAACCUACCUAUAAGACUGGGAUAACUUCGGGAAACCGGAGCUAAUACCGGAUAAUAUUUCGAACCGCAUGGUUCGAUAGUGAAAGAUGGCCCUGCUAUCACUUAUAGAUGGACCUGCGCCGUAUUAGCUAGUUGGUAAGGUAACGGCUUACCAAGGCAACGAUACGUAGCCGACCUGAGAGGGUGAUCGGCCACACUGGAACUGAGACACGGUCCAGACUCCUACGGGAGGCAGCAGUAGGGAAUCUUCCGCAAUGGGCGAAAGCCUGACGGAGCAACGCCGCGUGAGUGAUGAAGGUCUUCGGAUCGUAAAACUCUGUUAUUAGGGAAGAACAAACGUGUAAGUAACUGUGCACGUCUUGACGGUACCUAAUCAGAAAGCCACGGCUAACUACGUGCCAGCAGCCGCGGUAAUACGUAGGUGGCAAGCGUUAUCCGGAAUUAUUGGGCGUAAAGCGCGCGUAGGCGGUUUUUUAAGUCUGAUGUGAAAGCCCACGGCUCAACCGUGGAGGGUCAUUGGAAACUGGAAAACUUGAGUGCAGAAGAGGAAAGUGGAAUUCCAUGUGUAGCGGUGAAAUGCGCAGAGAUAUGGAGGAACACCAGUGGCGAAGGCGACUUUCUGGUCUGUAACUGACGCUGAUGUGCGAAAGCGUGGGGAUCAAACAGGGAUUAGAUACCCUGGUAGUCCACGCCGUAAACGAUGAGUGCUAAGUGUUAGGGGGUUUCCGCCCCUUAGUGCUGCAGCUAACGCAUUAAGCACUCCGCCUGGGGAGUACGACCGCAAGGUUGAAACUCAAAGGAAUUGACGGGGACCCGCACAAGCGGUGGAGCAUGUGGUUUAAUUCGAAGCAACGCGAAGAACCUUACCAAAUCUUGACAUCCUUUGACCCUUCUAGAGAUAGAAGUUUCCCCUUCGGGGGACAAAGUGACAGGUGGUGCAUGGUUGUCGUCAGCUCGUGUCGUGAGAUGUUGGGUUAAGUCCCGCAGCGAGCGCAACCCUUAAGCUUAGUUGCCAUCAUUAAGUUGGGCACUCUAAGUUGACUGCCGGUGACAAACCGGAGGAAGGUGGGGAUGACGUCAAAUCAUCAUGCCCCUUAUGAUUUGGGCUACACACGUGCUACAAUGGACAAUACAAAGGGCAGCGAAACCGCGAGGUCAAGCAAAUCCCAUAAAGUUGUUCUCAGUUCGGAUUGUAGUCUGCAACUCGACUACAUGAAGCUGGAAUCGCUAGUAAUCGUAGAUCAGCAUGCUACGGUGAAUACGUUCCCGGGUCUUGUACACACCGCCCGUCACACCACGAGAGUUUGUAACACCCGAAGCCGGUGGAGUGACCAUUUGGAGCUAGCCGUCGAAGGUGGGACAAAUGAUUGGGGUG
rnacentral:rRNA from 1 species